CCUACGGGUGGCAGCAGUGGGGAAUAUUGCGCAAUGGGCGAAAGCCUGACGCAGCGACGCCGCGUGAGGGAUGAAGGUCUUCGGAUCGUAAACCUCUGUCAGCAGGGAAGAACGGUCACUGUGCUAAUCAGCAGUGAAUUGACGGUACCUGCAAAGGAAGCACCGGCUAAAUCCGUGCCAGCAGCCGCGGUAAUACGGAGGGUGCGUGCGUUAAUCGGAAUUAUUGGGCGUAAAACGCUCGUAGGCGGUAUGGCAAGUCAAGGGUGAAAUCCCCGCGCACAAAGUGGGAACUGCCUUUGAAAAUGGCAGACUCGAGUGUGUGAGAGGAUAGUGGAAUUCGAGGUGGAGGAGUGAAA
rnacentral:rRNA from 1 species